rnacentral:tRNA from 3 species
GGGGAUUGGUAUACCCGACUUGAAAUCGGGUGUCCGCAAGGACCGAGGGUUCGAAUCCCUCCCUCUCCG